CUGGUCGGCUACUUGUAGUUGGUCCUGCCCGCCGAAACUAGCCUGGUCCAGCACGUACGUACGUACGUACCUACGGUGCCACUUGCCAGGGCUGUGCCGACCGGCAACGUUUAUGGAGUGCCACUGGCCGCCGGCCUGCCGGUGCAGUGCAUACGUGCAAUGCAAUGUAUCCGGUGAGUUGUUGGCACACACGACGAUCCGGCAAUGGCCAUGCACUCUGUACUCUGUAAUUGAGCUGAUAAGAUCAGAGACAGCUUUGGCAUGGU
rnacentral:lncRNA from 1 species